UACAGAGGGUGCGAGCGUUGUCCGGAAUCACUGGGCGUAAAGGGCGCGUAGGCGGCCUUCUAAGUCGAACGUGAAAUCCCUGGGCUCAACCCAGGAACUGCGUCCGAUACUGGAAGGCUUGAAUCCGGGAGAGGGAUGCGGAAUUCCAGGUGUAGCGGUGAAAUGCGUAGAUAUCUGGAGGAACACCGGUGGCGAAGGCGGCAUCCUGGACCGGCAUUGACGCUGAGGCGCGAAAGCCAGGGGAGCAAACGGG
rnacentral:rRNA from 1 species